CCUACGGGAGGCAGCAGUGGGGAAUAUUGGGCAAUGGGCGCAAGCCUGACCCAGCAACGCCGCGUGAAGGAAGAAGGCUUUCGGGUUGUAAACUAUUGUCGUUAGGGAAGAUAAAAGACUGUACCUAAGGAGGAAGCCCCGGCUAACUAUGUGCCAGCAGCCGCGGUAAUACAUAGGGGGCAAGCGUUAUCCGGAAUUAUUGGGUGUAAAGGGUGCGUAGACGGAAGAACAAGUUGGUUGUGAAAUCCCUCGGCUCAACUGAGGAACUGCAACCAAAACUAUUCUCCUUGAGUGUCGGAGAGGAAAGUGGAAUUCCUAGUGUAGCGGUGAAAUGCGUAGAUAUUAGGAGGAACACCAGUGGCGAAGGCGACUUUCUGGACGAUAACUGACGUUGAGGCACGAAAGUGUGGGGAGCAAACAGGAUUAGAUACCCCAGUAGUC
rnacentral:rRNA from 1 species